rnacentral:rRNA from 1 species
UGUCCACUGAACCUUAUCAUUUAGAGGAAGGAGAAGUCGUAACAAGGUUUCCGUAGGUGAACCUGCGGAAGGAUCAUUGUCGAAACCUGCUCUGCAGAACGACCCGCGAACGAGUAAACAAAACCGGCACGGGCCCGGGGCGGGAUUACCCUAUCCGUUCCCGUGCACGCCGGGGAAGCCGGACCGCUCGGUUCUGCAGCGAUGCGGGCUGCGCCGUCCGCGCCCGUCCCCGGCAAACACAAAACCCGGCGCGGUCUGCGCCAAGGAAAUUCUAGCGGAAACAACGUGUUGCCGUCAGGCGACUCGGAUCCGAUACUCUAACGACUCUCGGCAACGGAUAUCUAGGCUCUCGCAUCGAUGAAGAACGUAGCGAAAUGCGAUACUUGGUGUGAAUUGCAGAAUCCCGUGAACCAUCGAGUCUUUGAACGCAAGUUGCGCCCGAGGCCUUUAGGCCGAGGGCACGUCUGCCUGGGCGUCACGCACAGCGUCGCACCCCGCCACUCCUGCUGGACGGGGAGCGGAGAUUGGCCCCCCGGGCACCCGCUGCACGGCCGGCUCAAAUGACUGUCCCCGGCGACGAGCGUCGCUAUUAUCGUGGUGGAUCAAAGCUGAGAUAAGGCGUUCUCGCCGCCACAGUAGGGACAGAUCGACCCCCGGACGCCGUCACCGACGGCGCUCACCCUGCGACCCCAGGUCAGGCGGGAUUACCCGCUGAAUUUAAGCAUAUCAAUAAGCGGAGGA